rfam:Sordaria macrospora k-hell, WGS project CABT02000000 data, contig: 2.10
GGGCGUAUAGUUCAGUGGUAGAACGUCUGUUUUGCAAUGCUUUGUUUGGCAUGACGUGCUUAUACAGAAGGUCCCGCGUUCAAUCCGCGGUUCGUCCA